rnacentral:rRNA from 1 species
CCAAUAGCGUAUAUUAAAGUUGUUGCAGUUAAAAAGCUCGUAGUUGAAUUUCGGGAUCAAUAUAUCGGUCGUGCCUCCGGUAUGCACUGGUAUUAUUGAUUUCUACCUUCUGACGAACUAUGAUGUCAUUAAUUUGGUGUCAUGGGGAAUCAGGACUGUUACUUUGAAAAAAUUAGAGUGUUUAAAGCAGGCACACGCUUGAAUACAUUAGCAUGGAAUAAUGAAAUAGGACGUUUGACCCUAUUUUGUUGGUUUCUAGGAUCGACGUAAUGAUUAAUAGGGAUAGUUGGGGGCAUUAGUAUUCAAUUGUCAGAGGUGAAAUUCUUGGAUUUAUUGAAGACUAACUACUGCGAAAGCAUUUGCCAAGGAUGUUUUCAUUAAUCAAGAACGAAAGUUAGGGGAUCGAAGACGAUCAGAUACCGUCGUAGUCUUAACCAUAAACUAUGCCGACUAGGGAUCGGAUGAUGUUAAUUUUUUAAUGACUCAUUCGGCGCCUUACG